GCGUCGGUAGUGCAACUGUUUAGCACGCGUCCAGGAUGGAGUGAAAUGUGGGUUCGAAUCCCAGCUGAUGCA